rnacentral:tRNA from 1 species
GAGGGGAGGCCCAACCAACAAGAACUGCUAACUCUUGCGCCUGAGUAUAAAACCUCAGUCCCCUUA